rnacentral:lncRNA from 1 species
UCACGAGAGAUCGUAGUUAUACUUUGAAACUUUCCAUCACUAGACUAGGAAGCUCAAGAAAAUGGUUUAGGCAACACAAGUACAUGUGGUAAGCAACCUAAACUUGACAUAAGAAAAUGGUUUAGGUGAUGAAGAAACUGCGAGUAAAAUGCACAGAGCCACCACAAUAGCAAUAACGACGUGAUUAGCAGAAAACCAUCACUUUACAAAACGUUGCACUUUGCACUGCACAAAAAGAAUGGCGGUGGCAGAAACACUGAACCGCUUUUUGAACAUAAUUUGACGUGGCAAAGCACGCACAUGGACGGUGCAACGCCUAAUGAUCGUUAACAGUCGUCCAACCGGUGCGGUCGGAAUGCAUUUCCCUAAAGGGAAACGGUGCUAGCCGCCAGCUCACUCACUCAAGCUCCCUCUCCACCUCUCUCGCCUC